AUUGAACGCUGGCGGCAUGCCUUACACAUGCAAGUCGAACGGCAGCACGGGUGCUUGCACCUGGUGGCGAGUGGCGAACGGGUGAGUAAUACAUCGGAACGUACCUUAUCGUGGGGGAUAACGCAGCGAAAGCUGUGCUAAUACCGCAUACGCCCUGAGGGGGAAAGCGGGGGAUCGAAAGACCUCGCGCGAUUAGAGCGGCCGAUGCCUGAUUAGCUUGUUGGUGGGGUAAAAGCCCACCAAGGCGACGAUCAGUAGCUGGUCUGAGAGGACGAUCAGCCACACUGGGACUGAGACACGGCCCAGACUCCUACGGGAGGCAGCAGUGGGGAAUUUUGGACAAUGGGGGCAACCCUGAUCCAGCAAUGCCGCGUGAGUGAAGAAGGCCUUCGGGUUGUAAAGCUCUUUUGUCAGGGAAGAAACACCGGCUCUAACACAGUCCGGGAAUGACGGUACCUGAAGAAUAAGCACCGGCUAACUACGUGCCAGCCGCCGCCGUAAGAC
rnacentral:rRNA from 1 species